rnacentral:rRNA from 1 species
UACGUAGGGUGCGAGCGUUGUCCGGAAUUAUUGGGCGUAAAGAGCUUGUAGGCGGUUUGUCGCGUCUGCUGUGAAAAUCCGAGGCUCAACCUCGGACUUGCAGUGGGUACGGGCAGACUAGAGUGUGGUAGGGGAGACUGGAAUUCCUGGUGUAGCGGUGGAAUGCGCAGAUAUCAGGAGGAACACCGAUGGCGAAGGCAGGUCUCUGGGCAUUAACUGACGCUGAGGAGCGAAAGCAUGGGGAGCGAACAGG